GAAAUUCGGAGCAGCGCACUCCUCCUCCCAGCGCCCUCCGAUGGACUGACAACACUCCUCCUCCCAGUUGUCAGUCGCCCUAAUGACGCCCACCGGAUCCUCCCCCGGUGGGCGUUUGGU
rnacentral:sRNA from 2 species